CUCUGACAUUAAACAAACUCACUGUUGACGAAAACCUUAUUGAGGUUUUUGCCAAAGGAGUAGAUGCGGAUACUGUUGUUUUGAUGGCAGCUCGAGCCUCUAGAACAGAGAAUCAAGAUGCAAUUGAUUCUGCUAUUGUUGGAAUGCUGGCUGAUCCAAGAGAGGCUCGUGCUGGAAUUCAAGAAGUUCAUUUCCUUCCUUUUAAUCCAACUGAUAAGCGGACAGCCUUGACUUACAUUGACAGUGAAGGUAAAAUGCAUAGAGUCAGCAAAGGUGCCCCAGAGCAGAUUCUAAAUCUUGCCCACAAUAAGUCAGAUAUUGAGCGAAGAGUUCAUGCUGUCAUUGACAAGUUUGCAGAGAGGGGUUUACGGUCCCUUGCUGUUGCAUAUCAGGAAGUUCCAGAAGGAAGGAAAGAAAGUCCCGGAGGCCCUUGGCAGUUCAUUGGCCUCAUGCCCCUCUUUGAUCCACCUAGGCAUGACAGUGCUGAGACUAUAAGGAGGGCUUUGAAUCUUGGUGUAAAUGUCAAAAUGAUUACAGGGGAUCAACUGGCCAUAGGGAAGGAAACUGGACGUCGUUUGGGAAUGGGAACCAACAUGUAUCCUUCAUCUGCGUUGCUAGGACAAGACAAGGAUGAGUCUUUUGCUGCUUUGCCAAUUGAUGAACUGAUUGAAAAAGCUGAUGGCUUUGCUGGUGUUUUCCCUGAGCACAAAUAUGAGAUAGUAAAACGCUUGCAAGCUAGAAAACACAUCUGUGGGAUGACUGGUGAUGGAGUCAAUGAUGCUCCUGCUCUUAAGAAGGCUGACAUUGGGAUUGCUGUUGCUGAUGCGACUGAUGCAGCUCGUAGUGCUUCAGAUAUUGUCCUUACGGAACCUGGCCUUAGUGUUAUCAUUAGUGCUGUCUUGACAAGUCGG
rnacentral:misc_RNA from 1 species